rnacentral:tRNA from 1 species
CAAAGAGUAGUUUAAUAAAAAUAAUAAUUUUGGAAAUUAUAGAUAAAAAAUAAUUUUUUUCUUUGA